rnacentral:SRP_RNA from 1 species
GCUGGGCGUGGUGGCGCAUGCCUGUAAUCCCAGCUACUCGGGAGGCUGAGGCAGGAGAAUCGCUUGAACCUGGGAGGCGGAGGUUGCAGUGAGCCGAGAUCACACCACUGCACUCCAGCCUGGGUGACAGAGCCAGACUCUGUCUUUU